rnacentral:rRNA from 1 species
CGAAAUUCCUUGUCGGGUAAGUUCCGACCCGCACGAAUGGCGUAACGACUUGGGCGCUGUCUCAACAGGGGACCCGGCGAAAUUGUACUAUACGUGAAGAUGCGUAUUACCCGCGACUGGACGGAGAGACCCCGUAGAGCUUUACUGUAGCUUGAUAUUGGAAUUCGGUAAUUUAUGUACAGGAUAGGUGGGAGACUUGGAAACAUGGGCGUCAGCUCAUGCGGAGUCAACCUUGGGAUACCACCCUUGAAUUAUUGGGUUUCUAACACCAGACCGUAAUCCGGCUGGUGGACAGUGUCAGGUGGGCAGUUUGACUGGGGCGGUCGCCUCCCAAAAUGUAACGGAGGCGUUCUAAGGUUCCCUCAGGAUGGUUGGAAAUCAUCCAAAGAGCGUAAAGGUAGAAGGGAGCUUAACUGCGAGACAGACAUGUCGAGCAGAUACGAAAGUAGGACUUAGUGACCCGGCGGUUGAGUAUGGAAUUGCCGUCGAUUAACGGAUAAAAGUUACCUCGGGGAUAACAGGCUUAUCUCCCCCAAGAGUUCACAUCGACGGGGAGGUUUGGCACCUCGAUGUCGGCUCAUCGCAUCCUGGAGCUGAAGUCGGUUCCAAGGGUUGGGCUGUUCGCCCAUUAAAGCGGUACGCGAGCUGGGUUCAGAACGUCGUGAGACAGUUCGGUCCCUAUCUGUCGUGGGCGCAGGAAAUUUGAGAAGAGCUGUCCUCAGUACGAGAGGACCGGGAUGGACGCAUCAAUGGUGGACCAGUUGUCACGCCAGUGGCAUAGCUGGGUAGCUAAAUGCGGAAGGGAUAAACGCUGAAGGCAUCUAAGUGUGAAACCCACUUCAAGAUGAGAUUUCCCAUUGCGCAAGCAAGUAAGACCCCUUAAAGACGAUAAGGUAGAUAGGUCAGGAGUGUAAGCAUGGUGACAUGUUAAGCGGACUGAUACUAAUAGGUCGAGGGCUUGACCGA